AGGAUGAACGCUGGCGGCGUGCUUAACACAUGCAAGUCGAACGAUGAAGCAGAGCUUGCUCUGUGGAUUAGUGGCGAACGGGUGAGUAACACGUGAGUAACCUGCCCUUGACUCUGGAAUAAGCGUUGGAAACGACGUCUAAUACCGGAUACGAGCUUCCGCCGCAUGGUGAGGAGCUGGAAAGAAUUUCGGCAAGGAUGGACUCGCGGCCUAUCAGGUAGUUGGUGAGGUAAUGGCUCACCAAGCCUACGACGGGUAGCCGGCCUGAGAGGGUGACCGGCCACACUGGAACUGAGACACGGUCCAGACUCCUACGGGAGCAGCAGUGGGAAUAUGCACAAUGGGCGCAAGCCUGAUGCAGCAACGCCGCGUGAGGGACGACGGCC
rnacentral:rRNA from 1 species